GGUGGCAGUCUCACAGUUGAAGCAUUAAGGUGUAACAUACAUAUUUGCACAACAGAAUGACUGAAAGCUAUUGAGAUCUGAUUGCAAGCGAGAGUGAAAUGAAAUGUCCCUAUACUGGACACAGAGCUUAACAUCAUCCGCAGAGCGGCCGCGUUAGCUAACAGAGCAAGUAAAUUGAAGUCUCUGCUAUAAUGUUUUUAAUAAGAGCAAUAUGCGUGGGGCCAUUAACAGCUCAGAUUCAUACCCAUCACAAUGAACGAAAGCAGCGAUAUUACUCUCUUGCAUCCAAGCUGUCAACAAUACCUCAUGAACAUUCCUGUCAACUACUGUGCAAAAGCAUUCUUUGCAG
rnacentral:lncRNA from 1 species